GGAUUAGAUACCCUGGUAGUCCACGCUGUAAACGAUGAGUGCUAGAUAUCGGGGGCAUAGCCUUCGGUUUCGCAGCUAACGCAUUAAGCACUCCGCCUGGGGAGUACGGUCGCAAGAUUAAAACUCAAAGGAAUUGACGGGGGCCCGCACAAGCGGUGGAGCAUGCGGUUUAAUUCGAUGUUACGCGAAAAACCUUACCAACCCUUGACAUGGUGGUCGCGGAUCGUAGAGAUACUUUCCUUCAGUUCGGCUGGACCACACACAGGUGUUGCAUGGCUGUCGUCAGCUCGUGCCG
rnacentral:rRNA from 1 species